rnacentral:rRNA from 1 species
UACGAAGGGGGCUAGCGUUGCUCGGAAUGACUGGGCGUAAAGGGCGCGUAGGCGGAUGGCACAGUCAGAUGUGAAAUUCCCGGGCUUAACCUGGGGGCUGCGUUUGAUACGUGCGGGCUUGAGUUCGGAAGAGGGUCGUGGAAUUCCCAGUGUAGAGGUGAAAUUCGUAGAUAUUGGGAAGAACACCGGUGGCGAAGGCGGCGACCUGGUCCUUGACUGACGCUGAGGCGCGAAAGCGUGGGGAGCAAACAGG